GAUGAAGAACGUAGCGAAAUGCGAUAAGUAGUGUGAAUUGCAGAAUUCAGUGAAUCAUCGAAUCUUUGAACGCACAUUGCGCCCCUUGGUAUCCCGAGGGGCAUGCCUGUUCGAGCGUCAUUUCACCACUCAAGCCUGGCUUGGUGUUGGGCGACGUCCUCUUUGGGGACGCGCCUCGAAACGCUCGGCGGCGUGGCACCGGCUUUAAGCGUAGCAGAAUCUUUCGCUUUGGAAGUCGGGGCCCCGUCUGCCGGAAGACCUGCUCGCAAGGUUGACCUCGGAUCAGGCGGGGAUACCCGCUGAACUUAAGCAUAUCAAUAAGCGGAGGA
rnacentral:misc_RNA from 1 species